GAUGAAGAACGCAGCGAAAUGCGAUAAGUAAUGUGAAUUGCAGAUUUCAGUGAAUCAUCGAAUCUUUGAACGCACAUUGCGCCCGCCAGUAUUCUGGCGGGCAUGCCUGUCCGAGCGUCAUUUCAACCCUCGAACCCCUCCGGGGGGUCGGCGUUGGGGAUCGGCCCUGCCUCUUGGCGGUGGCCGUCUCCGAAAUACAGUGGCGGUCUCGCCGCAGCCUCUCCUGCGCAGUAGUUUGCACACUCGCAUCGGGAGCGCGGCGCGUCCACAGCCGUUAAACACCCAACUUCUGAAAUGUUGACCUCGGAUCAGGUAGGAAUACCCGCUGAACUUAAGCAUAUCAAUAAGCGGAGGA
rnacentral:misc_RNA from 1 species